rnacentral:rRNA from 1 species
UACGUAGGCAGCGAGCGUUGUUCGGAGUUACUGGGCGUAAGAGUGCGUAGGCGGUUUUCUAAGUUUGGUGUGAAAUCUCCCGGCUUAACUGGGAGGGUGCGCCGAAAACUGGAAGGCUGGAGUAUGGGAGAGGUAAGCGGAAUUCCUGGUGUAGCGGUGAAAUGCGUAGAUAUCAGGAGGAACACCGGUGGCGAAGGCGCUCAUCUGGCCCAAUACUGACGCUGAGGCGCGAAAG